AUUGAACGCUGGCGGCAUGCCUUACACAUGCAAGUCGAACGGCAGCACGGGUGCUUGCAUCUGGUGGCGAGUGCCGCACGGGUGAGUAUUACAUCGGAACAUCUCCUCUAGUGGGGUAUAGCCCGUCGAAAGCCGGGUUAAUACCGCCUACGACCUACGGAUACCAGCGGGGGCCCUUCUGGACUCGCGCUAUACUGUCGGCCGGUGACGCAUUAGCGAGUCGGUGGGGUAAAGGCUUACCAAGGCGACGAUCAGUAGCUGGUCUGAGAGGAAGAACAGCCACACUGGAACUGAGACACGGCCCAGACUCCUACGGGAGGCAGCAGUGGGGAAUGUUGGACAAUGGGCGAAAGCCUGAUGCAGCAAUGCCGCGUGCGUGAAGAAGGUCUUCGGAUCGUAAAGCAAUGUUGUCAGGAAAGAAAACCUGGGUAAGAAUACGGGCGGGUGAUGACGGUACCGGAAGAGAAAGCACCGGCUAACUACGUG
rnacentral:rRNA from 1 species